AACGAACGCUGGCGGCAGGCUUAACACAUGCAAGUCGAGCGCCCCGCCAGGGGAGCGGCAGCCGGGUGAGUAACGCGUGGGAACGUACCCUUAUCUUCGGGCUAGCUCCGGGAAACUGGAAUUAAUACCGAAUGUGCCCUUUGGGGGAAAGAUUUAUCGGAUAAGGAUCGGCCCGCGUUGGAUUAGCUAGUUGGUGGGGUAAAGGCCUACCAAGGCGACGAUCCAUAGCUGGUCUGAGAGGAUGAUCAGCCACAUUGGGACUGAGACACGGCCCAAACUCCUACGGGAGGCAGCAGUGGGGAAUAUUGGACAAUGGGCGCAAGCCUGAUCCAGCCAUGCCGCGUGAGUGAUGAAGGCCUUAGGGUUGUAAAGCUCUUUCACCGGAGAAGAUAAUGACGGUAGCCGGAGAAGAAGCCCCGGCUAACUUCGUG
rnacentral:rRNA from 1 species